GGUAAUGUAGCUCAGUAGUAGAGUGCUUACCUAGCACGUAUGAGGCCCUGGGUUUGAUACCUAGCAACUC
rnacentral:tRNA from 1 species